UAAAAAGUAGUUUUAUAAAUAAAACCUUAAUUUUGGAAAUUAAAAAAAUAAAUAUUUAUCUUUUUAA
rnacentral:tRNA from 2 species